GUUCCCGUGGUGAAGCGGAGAUCACGCGAGCCUCCGAAGCUCGCGUCGCCGGUUCGAUUCCGGCCGGGAACACCA
rnacentral:tRNA from 1 species